AUAGGAUAUUUAUGUUUAGUAACCAGUAAUUCAGAGAUUGGUAUUCAUGGUUACUAUAACGAGGCUGUAGAAACGCACCCUUUCUUCUUUGCAAAUGGUCCUGUAUUUAUGUCUAAGCCGAAACUGGAACCUCUGAAUAAUUUAGAUUUAUUCUUGUUAUUUUCUAAAAUACUUAUCUACAGUAUACCAUAAGGAAUGAUACCGUAUCGCACCUAAUCAAGUGCCUUAAGAAACAUCAACAGGAUAUCACAGUAAUCCCUUAUCGACUGAUAUUUGUAGCCACUACAAUAUCUAUGACACUGGUAGUAAUUAUAAGAACAAUAAUGAUGUUCUAUAAGAGGAAAUGAUGAUUAGGAACAAAAACUUACAGGAGAUAUCAUGCGGUGGAUGGAUAAUAUGUAAAAAAUAUUAU